rnacentral:lncRNA from 1 species
GUUGAAUCUAUUUGGGAUUCUUUGAGUGCCAUGGAUCUGGAUGUCCAUAUAUCUCUUCCAGGACUUUGGAAGUUUUCAGCUAUUAUUUCAUUAAAUAAGCUUUCUGUGCCUUUCUCCAUCUCCCUCCGAAAAUCUCAUAAUAGUGAGAAAACUCAGAUCCAGCUUGUGGAUGCACUUGGGGAAACAGCUCCAGAGCCCCCAACUCUGGCCUACUGUGGAGAGCAGAAAGGAUCUUCAUAGGACACACCCCAAGAUGAAGUCAUAGGCAUGUUUCCAUAACUCCGUUCCCAAGGUUUGGAUAACCUACGCUCAUUUAGCAGGAACACUACACUACGUGCUUGUUGCUGGCGCCUUUUUUUUUUUUUUUUUUUUUUUUUUUUGAGAUAGCGUCUUGCCCUGUUACCCAGGUUGGAGUACAGUGCCAUGACCAUGGCUCAUGGCAGCCCCAACCUCCUCGAGUGAUCCUCUCACCUCAGCCUCCCAAGUAGCUGGGAUCACAGGCGCAAGCCACUGUGCCUGGCUAAUUAAAAAAAAAAAAAAAAAUUUCCAGAGACACGGUCUUCUUAUGUUGCCCAAGCUGGUGUUGAACUGGGCUCAAGUGGUCGUCCUGCUUUGGCCUCCCAAAGUGCUGGGAUUACAGGGGUAAGCCACCACACCUGGCCCGCUGCUGUUUCCCUAGCCGAUAAUUUUACAUUAAUAAACCUCUUGUGUGUGAAGUGCUAUACACUUGUAUGCUGGUAUCAAUAGUAGUUCAUGUAGCGAAGAGGUGGCAUUGAUUACAUGAAAACUGCUUCAAAGCUAAAGGCAGUUGUAGUUUUCCUUGGUGUCUUUAAAUCAGAAAAGAGGUGUCAAAGCUGACGAAGGUCCAGGCAGCAGGAGUCUUAAGAGCAUGGAAGCACUACUGCUUAAAUCCUAUGGUGGCAGCAUCCGGUUUCUUUAGUGAUUAGUAACAGGAAUCAGGAAUUUCUAACAAGCACUGCCAAAGAUAUUUUAGGUGCAGUUUAAGUAUAUUACACUUUGACUAAGAUGUUUUGAAGAUUUGAGAAGUUUGUACCCUUGAACCUGGUAAGCUGGGCUUCAGCUAAAUGGCUAUAUAGGUUUUAUAGGUAGGAAAUACAUUUUUUUUUUAACAUGAAAAGACUAGCUGUGAAAAGGCAAAUGUAGGCAACACAAAAACAAUUUAGAUCAACAUCUCAAACUUUAUAAUACACUCACAUUUAUACACAAAUUUCUGUUUACAAGUACAAAAGGCAAAGAACCACAAAGAAGCUAAGCAACUGCAUCAUCAGCCACAUUCAAUCGAAUUAAUACUAUUGUCCCCAGUCCGUAGUUUUAAUCCAGAGGAAAUGGUAGAUGCCAUUUCACACAUGGACUCCACCGUUAGUUUUAGAAGUUGGAGACUGUGUGUGGUUCCGCAGAAGUCUGGGUUUCUACAGAGCUGAACUGAGACUCCAUCGUGUUCCAGGCCAGAUCAGCCAGAAGAAAGUCAUCCAUUGCUGUCUGAGUUUCGUUGCUGGUGAAGAACAAGCUCCCCAGGGUUUCAAACCCAGAACUCAUGGUCUGUGUUUCUGUACUGUUCAACUGAACUUUGCUUUCUAGAGCAGGUAUAUUUUUAGCAGUGGAGAUUCCUUCAGUUUGGGUCUCUGUGUCAGAUGAAUCAGUACUCGUGGAAAAGCUGGAGUGUUUCAGAAUACUUCCCAGAGGCAGAUGAGGGCUACUGUCUAAGAAAAAGUUUAAGUCUGUCUGUGUCUGUGUGUCAAACAUCUCAAGGCCUAAGAAGUUAGAAUUUCCCCUACACCCAUAGGACUGAGCAGAGGUAUCUGCGAGUAAGAAGUCCGUUUGAGUCUCUAUGUCCAGUGACUCCAAGACUGGCUCGGUGGUCAUGGUGCUAAGUUCACUCUCUUCAGUUUGAGUCUGGAUAUUUGAGGCCGAAAAGAACUCUUCGAUAUCAAAAUCGAUUCCAGGGUUCUGGGCUGGGCCAGAUGGGAGCUGGGUGUCAGGUCCAGGAUUUGUGUCAGACAAAAGACUACGAUGAUCCAAUGUCUGAGCAGGCAGAUUACUUGACAAGAUGUUUUCCAAAUCACUUAAUAAAUCUAUGGUUUGGGUCUGAUUAUCUGUCAUGUUCUGUGAAGGAAGCAUACUAUUCUGUGCACUGAAGUUUAUAAUUGGUGCAGAUUUCUCAAUAUCUUGAUUUAAAGUCUUAGGCUCAUUCUGAGGUAACAAACUAUGAGUUACUGUCUCUGCUACUAAACUGUUGCUUAUAAUGUUACCUGUAGCAACAUUAUAUGAUGAAUGAACACUCUCAAAAAUGUCUCCGCAUAUUCCAGCUUGGUCCAUCUGUACAUGGUCAUUCGUUGGACUUUCUAUCCCACUGGUUUGAGUUUCUCUGGAGACCCCACCUGACUGGAAACAGGUGUCCAUAAAUGCAUCAGUCUGAGCAGCUAUAGAUGAAGUUACCUUAGAGCUGGGCAAAAAUGUCUGAGUGUGAACACUAAUGGGAAGAGACACUUGAGAAUCAAACGACAAAUCAGUUUGAGAACAAGACGACACAGAGGAAUCAGCAGUGGCCCACUGUGCAGAAGGUAUAAAGUUUUGUGAGGCAUAAGACAGAUCUGUCUGCACGUUGAUUGAAGAAAUGCUGUUCUUUUGACACGUGUUCCCUAGUUCUUGUAAAGGAUUAGAUGGACUUUUACCAAAGUUCACCUGAACACCAGUACUUAUUGGCUCACCAGCAAUAGGAUUAGCAAUUUUGAAAAGAGGUAGGCUCUCCUUAAGAGAGCAAGCCUCUGAAUCUAGGCCGAGGAUCAGGGUUCCUACUGUCAAGGGCAGUAAGUGCACAGCCCCUGUGGCAGAGCCCUGAUCAACACCUAACACCACAGGCUGGGCUGAGGAGUCGGCUGUAGGCACAAAGACAGGCAUGACAGAAAACUGCAUCACGGGUAGUUUAACCAAAGCCACUUUGGGCUUUGGUAAAAGCAACUUCUGAGGAUAUCUCGGUGGUGUUGUAAGAGUCUGCUUGUCAGUGUUAGAGCCACAAGAGUCUUCAAAAGAUGGUUCUAGCUUUAUUUCUGAAGAUUCUAGUUCUUGAGUGUCUGGUCUAGGGAUUGGUUGGUUGUUCAGUGAUUCAAUGGUCUUGUUGGAUAACUUCUGGUUUUGUGCACAGUUUUCCAUUUUCCUUUUCUUACUAGGUGGGUCCCUG